AGUAACUUAAAACAUGUAUGUAGAAACUGUACUGAUCUCUUUGGGUCUGGGAGAGAUGGUUCAAAUACUUGUUAAGGAGAGGGCCGUUUGGCAUGCUGGGGCUGGAGCAGCCAGCCAGAGGGAAGUGGCUCAUUUGUUACCAGCCUUCUAUCAUCUGCCUCUCUCCUGCCUCCGGAUCCUCCAAAGCCAGAGCAUCCCCCCGUGCCCCGUUGGAGUUGGUGUCUUUGCUGAGGUCACCCAAAAUGCAAGAGGGGAUUGCGCCACCACGUGUGGUCACACUUCCUGUCCUGCAAACUGGCUUCAUGAGUAAUUUCUGUUUCUUCCUCCUCCCACAGGGACUUCCUUCCCCGAGGUUCGGGAAUUGUCACCCGGCGGCCUCUCAUUCUGCAGCUCAUCUUCUCAAAAACAGCAGCAUCCCUGCCAUUUCUUCUUUAAUCACAACAUUGACUUUUGGGAGAGACCCGCAGAAGGAAUUCCUUUUUUUUUUCUUUCUUGUGAAUUUCAGUUGCUUGAAUUGAAUAAAGAAUCUUCCACAUGUAGAUUUUUUUUUUCCU